rnacentral:lncRNA from 1 species
AUAGAUGCUCCUGGUCCUAUAUACGUACCCUUGGUCCUAUAUAAACCCCAUAUAAAGCCCAUAGGACCCCCACAGCACCCUAUAGAACCCCAGAGGAUCCCAUAGGACCCUAUAGAACCCCAUAGGACCCUAUAGAACCCCACAGAACCCCAUAGGACCCCCAUAGGGCCCCCAUAGGGACCCUAUAGAACCCCACAGGACCCCACAGGACCCUAUAGAACCCCAUGGGACCCCCACAGAACCCCAUAGGACCCCCAUAGAACCCCAUAGGACCCCACAGGACCCCAUAGAACCCUAUAGGACCCUAUAGAACCCCAUAGGACCCCCAUAGGACCCCAUAGGACCCUAUAGGACCCCACAGGACCCCAUAGAACCCCAUAGGACCCCAUAGACCCACAGCACCCCAUAGGUCUCAGCUGUGCUUGCUGUGCUGGCAGUUGAGCAGCUCCGCGAAGCGCUGCAGCCGCAUGUUGGGUCCACAUCAUCACCCCUGGUCCCAUAUAAACCCCAUAGGGACCCCAUGGGACCCUAUAGAACCCCAUAGGACCCCAUAGGACCCCAUAGGACCCUAUAGAGCCCCAUAGCACCCCAUAGGACCCUAUAGAACCCCAUAGAACCCUAUAGGACCCCAUAGGACCCUAUAGAACCCCAUAGGGACCCUAUAGAACCCCAUAGGACCCCCAUAGAACCCUAUAGGACCCCACAGGACCCCAUAGAACCCUAUAGGACCCCAUAGAACCCUAUAGAACCCUAUAGAACCCCAUAGGACCCCACAGGACCCCAUAGGACCCUAUAGAACCCCAUAGGACCCCAUAGAACCCCAUAGGACCCCAUAGGACCCUACAGAACCCCAUAGGACCCCAUAGGAGCAGUGUUGGGUCCAUAAACCCCAUAGAACCCUAUAGAACCCCAUAGGACCCCAUAGAACCCCAUAGGACCCCAUAGGACCCUAUAGAACCCCACAGGACCCCAUAGGACCCUAUAGGACCCCAUAGAACCCCAUAGAACCCUAUAGGACCCCAUAGCCCCCCACAGAACCCUAUAGGUCCCCCAUAGGACCCCAUAGGACCCCACAGGACCCCACAGGACCCCAUAGGACCCCACAGGGACCCCACAGGAAGCCAUAG